rnacentral:rRNA from 1 species
AUUAAGUAGAGUUUGAUGAUGGCUCUGAAUGAACGCUAUUCAAAUGCUUGACACAUGCUAAUCGUACGUUUGUAGUUAACAAAAAUUAAUUAUGAAAGUGGUGUACAGGUGAGUAAAUGAUCGAUUGGUUACCUUAAAGUGAGGCAUAAAAUACCUUAUAAUAAAAGGAGUAAUCUCUGCUUUAAGAUACUAGUUGUAUCUCGGGUAGGUAGUAGGAGAGGUAAUUGCUCAACUAGCUUAAUAUCCCGUAGUCGAGUCUGAAAGGUCGAUCGACCACAUUGGAUAUGAACAAAAUUCAAUGCAUAAUAGUACAGCAGUGGGGAAUAUUGGUCAAUAGCCGAAAGGCUGAACCAGCAAUUUGAAGGAAUGGCCUCAAAUGAGGGGGGAUAGUGUUUGUAUGUAUGAAAAUAUGUGCACAUGGGUCCAAGCCUCGGCCAAAAGGCCAAGGAUUAAAGUUCUGGAUAGAAUAAUGAUAAUGACAAUUUUCUAUUCAAGUGUCUUGACAAACGCAUGUGCCAGCAGUCGCGGUAAUACAUGCAAGACUAGUGUUAUUCAUCUUUAAUGGGUUUAAAGGGUACCUAGACGGAAGUUCAAGCCUGCGAGGGGACGGAAUUUCUAGAGUUUUAUGUGAGAAGGGGAGUACUACUGGUGGAGAGAUGAAAUUCGAUGAUAUCUUUAGGACUGGUAAAGGCGAAGGCAACCUUUUAAGUAAAAACUGACGUUGAGGGACGAAGGCUUAGGUAACGAACAGGAUUAGGCACCCUAGUAGUCUUUGCAGAAAACGCUGAAUGCUAUAGGUUAGAAUUUAUUUUGGCCUAUAAACGAAAGUGUAAGCAUUCCACCUCAAGAGUAAUGCGGCAACGUAGAAACUGAAAUCAUUAGACCGUUUCUUGAAACCAGUAGUGAAGUAUGUGUGUGACGUGAAAGCAUAUAACAGUAAUGUGGUUCGACUCCACUAAGCUUAAUCUCAGCUUAACACUAUUUACAUGUGCAUAAUUAGUAAUGAAUAUGUGCAAAGCUGUAAAAACAAUGUAUCCAUAUAAUGUAAAUAUAUUUAUAAUAUUUUCAGGAGCUAGUGUAUUAGAACAUGGAUAGCGAAAGCAAAAACAACGGACGUUUCGUAAUCACUACAAAUAUUUAAUAUAUAGGAGUAAAAGAUUUGACAUGCUAAUCUUUUAGAGAUUCAAAAAACCUAUCGGAGUAAAGUUGUUAUCCUAAAUUCUAAAAGGAAGUAUUGUUAUAUGAACACGGUAAGCCCUAAUUUAACCUAUAAUAAUUAAAUAAAUUAUUAAGGAGGUGUAUUACAAUAAAAAGUAUGCAUAGCUAGGUGAGGGUAAAGGAAAAAUAAAAAAGCAAAAGCAUGGUAGUAAUAGCCAUGAUAAAUUCUUUGUAAUAUAUAUAAAUCAAAUUUAUUUAAUUAAAAAUAAAAUAUAAAGGGGUUAAAUAUCUAACCUUUAUUUAAUUUAGCAAUCAAUCACAAAUGAUUGAAGCUAAAAAAAAUAUAAGCAUAGGCUUCUUUUACCGACGCAGAAGGAAGUUUUGGAUUGUCAAUAGCUAAAAAUUCUGAUCGAAAAUUAGGUGUAAUACUUAGUCCUAAAUUUACUAUAGGUUUACAUAUUAAUGAUGUAGAAAUACUAAAAAAAUAAAAGAUGAAUUUAAUGUAGGUAAUAUUUAUACAACUGGAGAAUUAGUUAGGUGGCAAAUUAGUUCUAUUGAUAAUUUAAUUAAUGUAAUUAUCCCGUUUUUUGAUAAAUAUACGCUGAUUAGUCAAAAACAAGCUGAUUUUUUAAUCUUUAAAAAAAUAAUUGAACUUAUUAAAAAUAAAGAACAUAGUACCCUUGAGGGUUUACAAAAAAUUAUUAAUCUUAAAGCUUCACUUAAUAAAGGUAAUUAUAAUGAAUUAAAAUUAACUUAUCCAAAUACUAUACCAGUAGAUAGACCUAAGGUAGAGUUCAAAGGAAUACCUAAUCCAAAUUGGUUAGCAGGGUUUACGGAUGGAGAUGGUUGUUUUUUUAUUAGUAUUUAUGAUUCACCUAAAUCAAAAUUAGGUAAAGCAGUUCAAUUAAAUUUUAUAUUAACUCAGCAUUCACGAGAUGAUAAAUUAAUAAAAGGAAUAAUAGAAUAUAUAAAUUGUGGUAAGUUUAGUAAAAGAAAAGAAGCUUGUGAUUUAAAAGUUGUAUCUAUUACAGACAUUAAUGAAAAAAUAAUUCCAUUUUUUAAAAAUUAUAAUUUACAAGGAAUUAAAAAUUUAAAUUUUAUUGAUUUUUGUAAAGCAGCAAGAAUAAUGGAAACAAAAAACAUUUAACUCUUGAAGGAUUAAAUGAAAUAAUAAAUAUUAAGACAGGUAUGAACACACAAAGAUUAAUAUAAAAUACAAAGAUUUAAUCAAAAGGUUGCUGACUUUAUGAUUGGUGGAUACUACUGCACAAUAUUUUAAUUGUGUUGUACUUAAUCUGCUUGAGCGUAGUGCGGUGAAAGUCGCAUGCUAUGUUCUUAGGAGGGGAAAACUCGAGAGAGUCUACCUAUUCCGACUAUUUAAUUCGAUGACCCACGAAAAAUCUUACCAUAGCUCGGAUGGCUAGUAAAAUAUAAAAAUUAUAAUUAUUUUGUGAACGAAUUAUCAAAUAUGUAAAAAAAUAAGAUAUACAGAAUAAUAGAUAAUAGAUAAAUUUUAUCAUAUGGAUUUAUUUUUUUAUAAAUAAAUCAUAUAUACUUUAGCUACAGGUGUUGCACGGCUGUCUUAAGUUAAUGUCGUGAGAUCAUGGUUAGAUCCAACAAUUAGCGUAAGCCCAUAGUUUAUUUAAUAAAAUAUAAAAUAUUAAUAUAUUUAUUAUAAAAAAAUUUAUUAUAAAAUAUAUUAAGCAAAUAAUGUUUAUAAAUAAUUUUGUUCAUUAAUAGUGAAUAAUUUAAAGGAAUUUGGGAAUAUUCUUUAUGAAAAGGCUUAUUAGAGAAAGUGCUGUCACGAAAGGAAGGAAAGAGCUUUGCUCUUAUAGUGAUAAGCAAGGAGCAAGGGAUAAGAAAUAAUAUUAAAAAAUUUUAAAUUGUUUAUAAUAUUUAUUUGUUUUUAUAAAUAAAUAGAUUAGUCCACUAAGAAAAUGGCAAGUGAUAACCGGGAGUAAGACAAGUCAUCAUGGCCCUUCUAUUUAAUAGAGUUAAUGUUAUGGGCUAUAAAACGUGCCACAUAUGCCUAUACAAAGGGAUGCGAAGACGUGAGUCUAAGCUAAACCCCCAAAAAAGGAAACAAAACCCUAUAUGGAUUGUAGUCUGAAAUUCGACUACAUGAAAAAGAAAUUACUAGUAAUCGUGUAUCACGACGGCACGGUGAAUUAUAUCUCAGAUUGGUACUAACCACUCGUCAGGCGCUGAAAAUUGUGAGUGCAAUAAGUUUGGUGGGCUCAAGAAAAUGUAUAAGCAACUGAGCUUAUGGCGUUUAAGAGUCUAUCUUCGUAUGUGACACUUUGAUUGGUGUUAAGUUAUAUGGAAGUGAGGUUUCCUUUAAUUAGCUUAAGAAAGGAUCAAAACUGUCAAAAUCCUAAAGCUUUACUAACAAAAUUAUGAGAGAGAGCCUCAUGGUGAAGAAACAGUUGUAAAGAUAUCAAUCCUUCUAUCGCAGAAGGGCUUCUGAGAAGAAAAUGGAUAAGACGGUGCUAACUCGUCAGAGCAAUUUCAAAUUGCUCCCGACAAAGCUAACAGACUAAACGUUCCUCGUUAGAGGUAAAAGCCCUCGAGUUGUAAGCUUAAAAAUGAUAAAAUUUAAGCUGAAGCGAAGCCGAAAGGAAGACGAAGAUAUAGUCGGACCUGGUUUGAAAGAAUCAACCCUUGCAAAAGGGGGAGGAUAUAUAUUAUCGAUUUAUUAUAUAUCUAUGGAAAAGGGCGCCUCAAUAAGAAUAUAAUCUUAAAACUUGACCUACGCGCUUUAGCGAAGGAGAAGUAAGCCCCUUACUCGCGAAAUAUGGUUCGUGUAGUGGAAGUUGCACGGGAUUGAUUAU